rnacentral:rRNA from 1 species
CCUACGGGAGACAGCAGUGGGGAAUAUUGCUCAAUGGGGGAAACCCUGAUGCAGCGACGCCGCGUGAGUGAAGAAGGUUUUCGGAUUGUAAAGCUCUAUCAGUAGGGAAGAUAAUGACGGUACCUGAGUAAGAAGCACCGGCUAACUCCGUGCCAGCAGCCGCGGUAAUACGUAGGGGGCAAGCGUUAUUCGGAAUUACUGGGCGUAAAGGGAGCGUAGACGGGAGUGCAAGUCUGGGGUGAAAUGCCGGGGCUCAACCCCCGAACUGCACUGGAAACUGUGCGUCUAGAGUAAGGGAGAGGUAAGUGGAAUUCCUAGUGUAGAGGUGAAAUGCGUAGAGAUUAGGAGGAACACCGGUGGCGAAGGCGGCUUACUGGACUGUAACUGACGCUGAGGCUCGAAAGCGUGGGGAGCAAACAGGAUUAGAUACCCGGGUAGUC